rnacentral:rRNA from 1 species
CGACGUGAGUAACCUGCCUCUAAGAGGGGAAUAACAUUCUGAAAAGAAUGCUAAUACCGCAUAACAUAUAUUUAUCGCAUGGUAGAUAUAUCAAAGAUUUAUCGCUUAGAGAUGGACUCGCGUCCGAUUAGUUAGCUGGUGAGGUAACGGCUCACCAAGACUGCGAUCGGUAGCCGGACUGAGAGGUUGAACGGCCACAUUGGGACUGAGACACGGCCCAG